rnacentral:misc_RNA from 1 species
GUCAAGCAAACAAUGAAGAAUUGAAAGCAAUUUAAAGAAAAAGUAAAACUUUAAAUUCUACCUUCUUUCGAAUGAAAAUUUGAAUUGUGCAGUGAUACUUUGAUGUAACGAGACACUUCAGAGCUGAAUACGGUUCAGAGAAUAAGAACAGUGAUAUCGUAUUAACCAGAGAGGAAAAAGCAGUUUACAAAGAAAAAUCCGUGAAAACGUGUACAAAAAUAUCUCUCCAAUAAUUCCAUCGAGUCAGUUAAAUAAGUAUUACAGAAUUUUCCGUUUUGAAGUCAGAUGAAGAAGCAAAGUAAAUUUAAAUGCGGGGAACAGUUUUGUUGAAGUCUGUAAAGUAGUCUCAGAGCUGGACAUAUUUUUACCCGAGAGUAGACAGGAAGCCAGCAACAUUUCCCUCGGCGUAAAGGCUGACGAUAUCGCCAAGGUGAAGGAAGCUAGCCGAACCCAGGAUUUCUCCCAUCUUAAGAUUCGCUCCGAUCUUCUGCUAUAGACUACGAGGACCUUUAUUCUUGCUGGUGUUGCAUUGCCUGGAACAGGAUUUCAUCA